UACGGAGGGAGCUAGCGUUGUUCGGAAUUACUGGGCGUAAAGCGCACGUAGGCGGCUUUGUAAGUCAGAGGUGAAAUCCCGGGGCUCAACCCCGGAACUGCCUUUGAGACUGCAUCGCUUGAAUCCAGGAGAGGUGAGUGGAAUUCCGAGUGUAGAGGUGAAAUUCGUAGAUAUUCGGAAGAACACCAGUGGCGAAGGCGGCUCACUGGACUGGUAUUGACGCUGAGGUGCGAAAGCGUGGGGAGCAAACAGG
rnacentral:rRNA from 1 species